rnacentral:rRNA from 1 species
CCCUUUGGGGUGUGACUGCGUACCUUUUGUAUAAUGGGUCAGCGACUUAUAUUCUGUAGCAAGGUUAACCGUAUAGGGGAGCCGGAGGGAAACCGAGUCUUAACCGGGCGUUAAGUUGCAGGGUAUAGACCCGAAACCCGGUGAUCUAGCCAUGGGCAGGUUGAAGGUUGGGUAACACUAACUGGAGGACCGAACCGACUAAUGUUGAAAAAUUAGCGGAUGACCUGUGGCUGGGGGUGAAAGGCCAAUCAAACCGGGAGAUAGCUGGUUCUCCCCGAAAGCUAUUUAGGUAGCGCCUCGUGAACUCAUCUCCGGGGGUAGAGCACUGUUUCGGCUAGGGGGCCAUCCCGGCUUACCAACCCGAUGCAAACUGCGAAUACCGGAGAAUGUUAUCACGGGAGACACACGGCGGGUGCUAACGUCCGUCGUGAAGAGGGAAACAACCCAGACCGCCAGCUAAGGUCCCAAAGUCAUGGUUAAGUGGGAAACGAUGUGGGAAGGCCCAGACAGCCAGGAUGUUGGCUUAGAAGCAGCCAUCAUUUAAAGAAAGCGUAAUAGCUCACUGGUCGAGUCGGCCUGCGCGGAAGAUGUAACGGGGCUAAACCAU